GAUCCUGGCUUAGGAUGAACGCUAGCGGCAGGCUUAACACAUGCAAGUCGAGGGGCAUCGGGAGUAGCAAUACUUGCCGGCGACCGGCGCAAGGGUGCGUAACGCGUGAGCAACAUGCCCGUAUCAGGGGGAUAAUCCAUGGAAACGUGGUCUAAUACCCCAUAGUAAUUAUGUAAGGCAUCUUAUAUAAUUUAAAGCUUUGGUGGAUACGGAUUGGCUCGCGUGACAUUAGCUGGAUGGUAAGGUAACGGCUUACCAUGGCUACGAUGUCUAGGGGUUCUGAGAGGAAGGUCCCCCACACUGGGACUGAGACACGGUCCAGACUCCUACGGGAGGCAGCAGUGAGGAAUAUUGGACAAUGGAUGGAAAUCUGAUCCAGCCAUGCCGCGUGCAAGGAAGACGGCCCUAUGGGUUGUAAACUGCUUUUGUAUGGGAGCAAUAAGGGCUACGUGUAGUCCGAUGAGAGUACCAUACGAAUAAGCACCGGCUAACUCCGUGCCAGCCGCCGC
rnacentral:rRNA from 1 species